GCCUCCGUGGUGAAAUGAAUAUCACCUUCGGCUUCGAACCGAAAGUUCCGGGUUUGAUUCCUGGCGGGGGCU
rnacentral:tRNA from 1 species